CCUACGGGGGGCAGCAGUGGGGAAUAUUGCACAAUGGGCGCAAGCCUGAUGCAGUGACGCCGCGUGGGGGAUGACGGCCUUCGGGUUGUAAACCUCUUUCGACAGGGACGAAGCUUUGGUGACGGUACCUGUAUAAGAAGCACCGGCUAACUACGUGCCAGCAGCCGCGGUAAUACGUAGGGUGCGAGCGUUGUCCGGAAUUACUGGGCGUAAAGAGCUCGUAGGUGGUUUGUCGCGUCGUCUGUGAAAUUCCGGGGCUUAACUUCGGGCGUGCAGGCGAUACGGGCAUAACUUGAGUGCUGUAGGGGAGACUGGAAUUCCUGGUGUAGCGGUGGAAUGCGCAGAUAUCAGGAGGAACACCGAUGGCGAAGGCAGGUCUCUGGGCAGUAACUGACGCUGAGGAGCGAAAGCAUGGGGAGCGAACAGGAUUAGAUACCCCGGUAGUC
rnacentral:rRNA from 1 species